rnacentral:tRNA from 2 species
AAGAUUUUAAGUUAAAUAAACUAAAAACCUUCAAAGUUUUAAAUAGAUAAAAUCUAAAUCUUG